rnacentral:rRNA from 1 species
CAGUCGCCGCGGUAAUACAGAGGAUGCAAGCGUUAUCCGGAAUGAUUGGGCGUAAAGCGUCUGUGGGUGGCUUUUCAAGUCCGCCGUCAAAUCCCAGGGCUCAACCCUGGACAGGCGGUGGAAACUACCAUGCUGGAGUACGGUAGGGGCAGAGGGAAUUUCCGGUGGAGCGGUGAAAUGCGUUGAGACCGGAAAGAACACCAACGACGAAAGCACUCUGCUGGGCCGACACUGACACUGAGAGACGAAAGCUAGGGGAGCAAAUGGGAUUAGAUACCCGUGUAGUCCAUGUCUCUUAUAA